GAUGAACGCUAGCUACAGGCUUAACACAUGCAAGUCGCGGGGCAGCAUGGGGGUUGCUUGCAAUCCCCGAUGGCGACCGGCGCACGGGUGAGUAACGCGUAUCCAACCUGCCCUUCACCACGGGAUAACCCGGCGAAAGUCGGACUAAUACCGUAUGGUGUCCAUUGACGGCAUCCGAUUUGGACGAAAGGCUUGGCGGUGAGGGAUGGGGAUGCGUCCGAUUAGCCAGACGGCGGGGUAACGGCCCACCGUGGCUACGAUCGGUAGGGGUUCUGAGAGGAAGGUACCCCACACUGGAACUGAGACACGGUCCAGACUCCUACGGGAGGCAGCAGUGAGGAAUAUUGGUCAAUGGGCGUAAGCCUGAACCAGCCAAGUAGCGUGCAGGAUGACGGCCCUAUGGGUUGUAAACUGCUUUUAUGCGGGGAUAAAGUGGCCCACGUGUGGGCUUUUGCAGGUACCGCAUGAAUAAGGACCGGCUAAUUCCGUG
rnacentral:rRNA from 1 species